GGGCCCGUGGCUCAGCGGCGACAGCACCUGCUUUGCAAGCAGGCAGGCGAGGGUUCGAGUCCCUCCGGGUCCACCA
rnacentral:tRNA from 1 species